rnacentral:lncRNA from 1 species
GGACUGUGUCCGGCGAUGGGCACGGGGUGAGUGGGGAGGCCGAGGGCCCGGGACUGCCUUUCGCUGCUUGUUGGGGUUACAGGUGAAGGGGUUAUGGGUGAAGAACAACCCAGGGCCAGCGCUUGGCCUUCCCGCCACCGUGGCGGCCGCCCCGCGCUGUCUGUGAGGCGCCAGUUCCGGGGCGCUGCUCCCGGCCUCCCCUCGCUCUGAGGCUCGGGGUCCCCAGCUCCGCGUAAACUGCACGAUUUCGCCCUCUGCUCAGCUCCCCUCUGCCCCCUCUUUCCAAGAGAGACUUCCAGAUCCCACAUUUUCUUGACUGAUUUUUAAGGUAAAAAUACAUCUCCCAGAUGUGAUUUUCAGUCUGGACUUUUAGAGAUGAAAUUAUAUCUGAGAACUGGGGAGGGACUCCCGGAGGCUGACGGGAAAGCCAAAGAGCAGGAAGCACUAAGUAAUAUGGAUGAUUAUGACAAAACCUGCUUGGAGUCUGCAUUA